rnacentral:rRNA from 1 species
UACGUAGGGUCCGAGCGUUGUCCGGAAUUACUGGGCGUAAAGCGUGCGCAGGCGGUUCGUUGUGUCGGCGGUGAAAGCCCCGGGCUUAACCUGGGAAUGGCCGUUGAAACUGGCGAACUGGAGUGUGGCAGAGGGGGGUGGAAUUCCGCGUGUAGCAGUGAAAUGCGUAGAGAUGCGGAGGAACACCGAUGGCGAAGGCAGCCCCCUGGGCUGACACUGACGCUCAGGCACGAAAGCGUGGGGAGCAAACAGG